AAUGAACGUUGGCGGUGCGCCUUAUGCAUGCAAGUCGAACGGUCGAGUAUGUAACUUGUUAUGUGCUCGGUAGUGGCGAACGGCUGAGUAACACGUAAGUAACCUGCCUUGGAGUGGGAAAUAACUUGCCGAAAGGCGAACUAAUGUCCCAUGUGGUAGCGAAGCAAAUGCUUUGUUAUUAAAGCCUUAGGGUGCUCCCAGAGGGGCUUGCGUCUGAUUAGCUAGUUGGUAGGGUAAUGGCCUACCAAGGCGAUGAUCGGUAGCUGGUCUGAGAGGAUGGUCAGCCAGAUGGGGACUGGGAUACGGCCCCAACUCCUACGGGAGGCAGCAGCAAGGAAUCUUGGGCAAUGAGCGAAAGCUUGACCCAGCGACACCGCGUGAGGGAAGAAGGCCUUCGGGUUGUAAACCUCUUUUCUUGGGGAAGAAUUCUGACGGUAUCCAAGGAAUAAGCCUCGGCCAACUACGUGCCAGCAGCCGCGGUAAUACGUAGGAGGCGAACGUUAUUCGGGUUUACUGGGCGUAAAGGGAGCGUAGGCGGUUCCUUAAGUCAGAUGUGAAAUCUUCUGACUUAAUCAGAAGGGGUCAUUUGAUACUGAGGGACUUGAGAACAGCAGAGGGAAAUGGAAUCCCCAGUGUAGCGGUGAAAUGCGUAGAUAUUGGGGAGAACACCAGUGGCGAAGGCGAUUUUCCAGGUUGUUUCUGACGCUGAGGCUCGAAAGCGUGGGGAGCGAAGCGGAUUAGAUACCCGCGUAGUCCACGCCCUAAACGGUGGACACUAGACAUGGGAGGUAUCGACCCUUUCUGUGUCGAAGCUAACGCCUUAAGUGUCCCGCCUGGGGAGUACGGCCGCAAGGCUA
rnacentral:rRNA from 1 species